CCUCCUUUCAAGGAUGUUCCGGUCCAAAGACGAUCCUGGAUUGGAACAGACUUAAUCAAAAACCCAAGGCACCGAUGGAAUUCAAGGCCGCCGCCGGCGUAUCCCUUCAUCAAAGGACAGAAGACGGACGUCCGGAAACGGUGGUUUUCGUCCUUUUAUAUCGAGACCCGUUGCGCUUGGUCCCUCAUCUCUGGUCUAUUUCAUCUGGAGCGGGCCUGUAGCUCAGUUGGUUAGAGCGCACGCCUGAAUAAGCCGUGAAGGUUCCGGGUNAAUUUUCCGAA
rnacentral:misc_RNA from 1 species